AUUGAACGCUGGCGGCAGGCCUAACACAUGCAAGUCGAACGGUAACAGGAAACCGCUUGCUGUUUCGCUGACGAGUGGCGGACGGGUGAGUAAUGUCUGGGAAACUGCCUGAUGGAGGGGGAUAACUACUGGAAACGGUAGCUAAUACCGCAUAACGUCGCAAGACCAAAGAGGGGGACCUUCGGGCCUCUUGCCAUCGGAUGUGCCCAGAUGGGAUUCGCUAGUAGGUGGGGUAACGGCUCACCUAGGCGACGAUCCCUAGCUGGUCUGAGAGGAUGACCAGCCACACUGGAACUGAGACACGGUCCAGACUCCUACGGGAGGCAGCAGUGGGGAAUAUUGCACAAUGGGCGCAAGCCUGAUGCAGCCAUGCCGCGUGUAUGAAGAAGGCCUUCGGGUUGUAAAGUACUUUCAGCGGGGAGGAAGGGAGUAAAGUUAAUACCUUUGCUCAUUGACGUUACCCGCAGAAGAAGCACCGGCUAACUCCGUG
rnacentral:rRNA from 1 species